AUAUUAAUAGCACAUUCGUUGGUAUCGCAGCACAAACUACUGGGUGAUGUUCUGUUUAAUUCAGUGUUAAUUAAAUUGCCAGUUAGAUCUAAUGUUUAUCUUAUUAUUUCAAGGUCCUUCAAAGAGUUGUUGAUGCUGAUGGCUGUGAGCAGGAAGGACCUCCUGUAGCAGUCUGUGUUACAGCCUCUGACUGAAGACACUGUUUAUCUGAUCAAGAGGAUGCUCAGAGUGACAACUUGAAAGUCAUACAGAAAUGUCGUCUGGCUGAAGAUGUCAGACCUCAAAGCAGAAGCCCAAGAGGAUCAGGUGAACUGAGAUCAUUCAGAUUCUGAGGAAAAGCCACAGGUCCAGAAAAUCUCCCCCAUGACCAGCAGCUCCAGCAGCCACAGCCUUCCACCUGUCCUCCACCUUCACUCCCACCUGUCCUCCACCUUCACUCCCACCUGUCCUCCACCUUCACCAUCUCAUCCACCAGCUGCUCUGUGUUCACCUGUAGCUGUUUAGUCCAACCAGUAACUCCACUAACCGACUCCCUUCAACUGGAAAUUCCUCUAUCAGACUGAAGCAUUCUGUGUAACGUCUUCAAAGCCUUAAGGAGUUGAAGGAGUUUGCCUGGGAAACCCCGGGAUGCUGCGAGCCGUUCUGACCCGUCUGGUUCUGCUGAAGAGAUGGACUCACUGGAUGAGCUCGGCCUUCCAGCCUUCACUGCAGAGAAGUUAGAAGUCCUGAACCAAAAACUGGAAUCAGGAGCUGUUCAGAAAUAAAUGCUGGAUCUCAGAAGGACCUGAUCUGCUGUCUGCAACAUUUUAUCCAAGAUCCUUUCAAACCACCAAGCAGAGCAGCAGAGAUCUAUUCAGACUGGGUGCAGAGAGAAGUCUUUCUGGUCACCAGCUCUUGAUGACUGAAAUAUUUAGUAAGUAUAAUCUCAUCCAUCCAUUUUCUAUACACCCUUGUCCCUUUGUGGGGUCAGGAGGUUUGCUGGUGCCUCCCCAGCUAACGUUCUGGGCGAGAGGCGGGGUCACCCUGGACAGGUCGCCAGUCUGUUGCAGAAUCUCAUGUGCCUUUCAGUCUAAAAUUGUGUGAAUUGUUGUAUAUUAUCCUAUAGCUGGACUUUAUGCAUGUUUCUCUGUAGCCAAUGAAACGUUUUGUUUCAUAAAACCAUGAAUGAUACACGUCUCAGUUUAAAAUAUAUAUAUUUUGUCUGUUUUUCAGAGGCUGUACCAAAGAACCAAGCGUCUGAUUCAGAACACCAAAAGUUUUAAGGCUCAAGGUU